GGCUCCGUAAUUCAGUGGUAGAAUGCCUGCUUUACAUCAUCCGGGAUCCGGGAUUGGUCGCAGUAUGUCGCGGGUUCGAUCCCCGUCGGGGUCA
rfam:Puccinia graminis f. sp. tritici CRL 75-36-700-3 supercont2.27 genomic scaffold, whole genome shotgun sequence.